rnacentral:rRNA from 1 species
CAGAUGAGCCUAGGUCGGAUUAGCUAGUUGGUGAGGUAAUGGCUCACCAAGGCUACGAUCCGUAACUGGUCUGAGAGGAUGAUCAGUCACACUGGAACUGAGACACGGUCCAGACUCCUACGGGAGGCAGCAGUGGGGAAUAUUGGACAAUGGGCGAAAGCCUGAUCCAGCCAUGCCGCGUGUGUGAAGAAGGUCUUCGGAUUGUAAAGCACUUUAAGUUGGGAGGAAGGGCAGUUACCUAAUACGUGAUUGUCUUGACGUUACCGACAGAAUAAGCACCGGCUAACUCUGUGCCAGCAGCCGCGGUAAUACAGAGGGUGCAAGCGUUAAUCGGAAUUACUGGGCGUAAAGCGCGCGUAGGUGGUUUGUUAAGUUGAAUGUGAAAUCCCCGGGCUCAACCUGGGAACUGCAUCCAAAACUGGCAAGCUAGAGUAUGGUAGAGGGUAGUGGAAUUUCCUGUGUAGCGGUGAAAUGCGUAGAUAUAGGAAGGAACACCAGUGGCGAAGGCGACUACCUGGACUGAUACUGACACUGAGGUGCGAAAGGCCGGUGGAGGGAAGCNANCCCUUUUUGAUUAGAUACCCUGGUAGUCCACGCCGUAAACGAUGUCUACUAGCCGUUGGGAGUCUUGAACUCUUAGUGGCGCAGCUAACGCAUUAAGUUGACCGCCUGGGGAGUACGGCCGCAAGGUUAAAACUCACAUGAAUUGACGGGGGCCCGCACAAGCGGUGGAGCAUGUGGUUUAAUUCGAAGCAACGCGAAGAACCUUACCAGGCCUUGACAUCCAAUGAACUUUCUAGAGAUAGAUUGGUGCCUUCGGGAACAUUGAGACAGGUGCUGCAUGGCUGUCGUCAGCUCGUGUCGUGAGAUGUUGGGUUAAGUCCCGUAACGAGCGCAACCCUUGUCCUUAGUUACCAGCACGUAAUGGUGGGCACUCUAAGGAGACUGCCGGUGACAAACCGGAGGAAGGUGGGGAUGACGUCAAGUCAUCAUGGCCCUUUACGGCCUGAGCUACACACGUGCUACAAUGGUCGGUACAAAGGGUUGCCAAGCCGCGAGGUGGAGCUAAUCCCAUAAAACCGAUCGUAGUCCGGAUCGCAGUCUGCAACUCGAC